UCGGAUACACAUAUAUCAAUAAGUAGUUGAUGUGAUUAAGGGCCUACAAAGGGGUAGAAAUAAGGGAAAUAUGGAGAAUAAUAGGGUUAAAAGAUAAAUAACAUACCGUGGUGCUAGGGAAAUAGAAGGGAAGGGGAAGGGUCCCAAUAGAUGAAGUUUGAAAUAAACUAGAAGGAGAAUGUAGAAAGGGAAAUGAUAAAAUGGCAUAACUGAAAUCAAUGUACUAUCAAAAUCAAUAAAUUACAACCUGUUCACUAGUGGUGUGUGUGUGGCCAUUUAUGAGGUCGUGGAACUUAUUCUGGUAUGAGUUUAACAAUGAUUUUGCAUAUUUAUUGCUCAUAGAUGAACUGAAGAAUUUUCAGGUGACCCAUAUCAUUAAGUGACCAAAUCAUUAAAUGAGGGUGAUAAUAAAAUAGUAAUAAUGAUGAAUGGGUAUGAAAAGAGUUGAAUACAGAGUCGUGAAUGGACUGGGUAGUAGUGUGGUAUACUGAAAACAACAAAUGAUGAAAAACUAGAGAGUAAAUAUUAAAUAAGAUUAAACUGAGACUAAUCCACAUCUUUCUAUAUGCUGUUUCCUUUCGUGUGGUGUGAGUGUGGCCUGUAUUGGUUGUGGUGAUGUGUAUCAACUAACUAGUGAUUAGUCAGCAGAGUAAACCAGAUAAUAAAGGGUCCGAAGGGGAGUAAAUUUCCUAGAUGUGUGCUGUAUAUGAGACAAGAAGUGUGGUCGUGAAAUAAAGACCUGGAAGGGUCGUGUCGGGUAUGCUGAGUGCAAGCUGCGUGUGUUAUAAUCUGGUGUGACCAAUACAGAUAGAGAGAUAGAUUGGUGGAGCUGAGAGUGAAAUCUAGUGGAAGUAAAGUUAAAGGAUAAUAGAGAGAAAGGGUGUAACUAUGAAAAAGAAAAGCGAAGGAAUAAUUAGGUGAAUUAAGUCGCUAUGUUGAGUGAUCUUUUUGAUUUGUAUAUACUGUUUAUGUAUAUAUAUAUAUAAACUCCAUAUUGGAUGAGAAAGAAGAAUGCAGGUAAGCAGAAUAGUUCUGCAAAAUGGAUUAAAAUGCAAGUAUGUUAAAUGUGGGUCAUUUUGUUUAAUUUGCAUAAUCUGUUAUGGAGAUUGAAAUUACUUGAAAGUUAUUGGAAAAAAGAGAAAAAGAGAGGGAAUCUGCAAGAGAGAAAAAAAAAUCAAAAUUGACAAGUUACAGGUUGGAGUCGAAGCAGGGAAUUGCUUUUAUAAAUCUUCAUUAUAUAAGGGUACCAUGUUGGAGAAAUGAUAGGUGCUGGGAUGAGUAUGAGAUGGAC
rnacentral:lncRNA from 1 species